AACAUCGCGCACCUGCGGGAACCUGCGGAAGGAUCAUUACGAGAGUGUCACCACUCCCAACCCAUUGUUUACCUACCCGUCCACCGUGCUUCGGCAGGCAGCCCUGUGGGACAGAGCCUCGCCCCCCUCCGCGGGGGGUGCCUGCCGCUGGCCAACCAACAACUCUAGCUGUUUUAGUACCAUCUGAGUCUUCCACAAAUGAACAAAACUUUUAACAACGGAUCUCAGAUCGGAAGAGCA
rnacentral:misc_RNA from 1 species